rnacentral:rRNA from 1 species
GGCGGACGGGUGAGUAAUGCCUAGGAAUCUGCCUGGUAGUGGGGGACAACGUUUCGAAAGGAACGCUAAUACCGCAUACGUCCUACGGGAGAAAGCAGGGGACCUUCGGGCCUUGCGCUAUCAGAUGAGCCUAGGUCGGAUUAGCUCGUUGGUGAGGUAAUGGCUCAUCAAGGCGACGAUCCGUAACUGGUCUGAGAGGAUGAUCAGUCACACUGGAACUGAGACACGGUCCAGACUCCUACGNNAGGCAGCAGUGGGGAAUNUUGGACAAUGGGCGAAAGCCUGAUCCAGCCAUGCNNCGUGUGUGAAGAAGGUCUUCGGAUUGUAAAGCACUUUAAGUUGGGAGGAAGGGCNNUAAGCUAAUACCUUGCUGUUUUGACGUUACCGACAGAAUAAGCACCGGCUAACUCUGUGCCAGCAGCCGCGGUAAUACAGAGGGUGCAAGCGUUAAUCGGAAUUACUGGGCGUAAAGCGCGCGUAGGUGGUUUGUUAAGUUGGAUGUGAAAGCCCCGGGCUCAACCUGGGAACUGCAUCCAAAACUGGCAAGCUAGAGUACGGUAGAGGGUGGUGGAAUUUCCUGUGUAGCGGUGAAAUGCGUAGAUAUAGGAAGGAACACCAGUGGCGAAGGCGACCACCUGGACUGAUACUGACACUGAGGUGCGAAAGCGUGGGGAACAAACAGGAUUAGAUACCCUGGUAG